rnacentral:tRNA from 1 species
GCCCCACACGACAAACCCUGUGGAUCGGCCUCCGGAGCCGUGUGCGCAGGUUCGAAUCCUGCCGAGGGCG